rnacentral:rRNA from 1 species
UACGGGGGGAGCAAGCGUUGUUCGGAUUUACUGGGCGUAAAGGGCGCGUAGGCGGCCACCGCAAGUCGACUGUGAAAUCUCCGGGCUUAACCCGGAAAGGUCAGCCGAUACUGCGGGCUAGAGUGCAGAAGGGCAACUGGAAUUCUCGGUGUAGCGGUGAAAUGCGUAGAUAUCGAGAGGAACACCUGCGGCGAAGGCGGGUAGCUGGGCCGACACUGACGCUGAUGCGCGAAAGCCAGGGAGCGAACGGG